rnacentral:rRNA from 1 species
CCUACGGGAGGCAGCAGUGAGGAAUAUUGGUCAAUGGGCGAUAGCCUGAACCAGCCAAGUCGCGUGAGGGAAGACGGCCCUACGGGUUGUAAACCUCUUUUGUCAGGGAGUAAAAGAGAAUACGUGUAUUCUAUUGAGAGUACCUGAAGAAAAAGCAUCGGCUAACUCCGUGCCAGCAGCCGCGGUAAU